UCAUUGGUCAAUAUCUUAAACAUAAGGAUAGCAAUCUUGACCACUGAGUAUUUUUGAUCCUAUGGCUAGAAAUCACACAUCUCAUAUCUCAAUCUCUUUCUUCCUUCUUUUCUUCAUUCCUUGUCUCACGAUAUCUCUCUCUUAUUUUUUUUUUUGUUACAGAUCUAAAUCUGAUCUUAUCAAAAUCUUUUUAAAUUCUUUGGAUCUCUUCUUCCUCAAUCACCACCACCACACGACGACCCGUUUGUUUUCGCCGUCCCAGCAUCACAACCACCACCACACGACCGUUCGUUCGCCGUCCCAGCAUCACCACCACCACACAACCACGGUUAGAACUCAUCUCUCUGUCUCUCUCUCUCUCUCUCUCUCUCUAUCUGUUUUGAACUGUAUUAUUUAUUUUAGGGAUGGAGGAAGCAAGGCAAGGCAGGUAUGGUGGCUGGAGGAGGAAGAUGACGGCUUCAUAUUCAGGAAGAGGAAGCUGACCGCGAGUUGGUGAGGAGGCGACGAGAUUAGGUCUAGAUGGAUGUGACGUUUGCCUCCUCUCUGCAACUUGCCUCUCAAAUCCCACGAUGAAGAAGAAGAAUCAUGGCUGGAUACUGAUGAAGGUCAUGGAAAAACACGAAGACGAAGGUGGUGGUGCGGCCGGUAGAUGAAGAAGACAACGAAGUGGUGGUGUGUUUAGUUAGUAAUUAGGUUAAAGCCUGGUUUAGUUUUUGGUUUAUUUAGUUUGUUGGUUUAUUAUUUAAUCUGAUUUUUUUUUUGUAUUUUUGUAAACCAAUUUAAUUAUAGAUAAAUUUAAGUAAUAAAGAAAAUUUGAUUCUA
rnacentral:lncRNA from 1 species